CCUACGGGCGGCAGCAGUGGGGAAUAUUGGGCAAUGGGCGCAAGCCUGACCCAGCAAUGCCGCGUGAAGGAAGAAGGCUUUCGGGUUGUAAACUUCUUUUCUGAGGGACGAAGAAAGUGACGGUACCUCAGGAAUAAGCCACGGCUAACUAUGUGCCAGCACCCGCGGUAAUACGUAGGUGGCAAGCGUUAUCCGGAUUUAUUGGGUGUAAAGGGCGUGUAGGCGGGAGAGCAAGUCAGAUGUGAAAACUCAGGGCUCAACCCUGGGCCUGCCUUUGAAACUGUUUUUCUUGAGUGCUGGUGAGGCAAUCGGAAUGCCGGGUGUAGCGGUGAAAUGCGUAGAUAUAAGGAGGAACACCGGUGGCGAAGGCGGAUUGCUGGACAGUAACUGACGCUGAGGCGCGAAAGCGUGGGGAGCAAACAGGAUUAGAUACCCGAGUAGUC
rnacentral:rRNA from 1 species